GUUCAGAAAUUGAAGCUACUCUAUAUACAAAAAAAGUAAUUAUAAUAAUAAAAAACACCCGGAAGCGACCCAGCAGCAACGAGUUUCCGAGCUCGUUAUCGAAUAUGCCUGUACAUAAUUGAAAGAGCCUGUCGGGAUUCAGUGCAGAUUGUAUUUCUUUUUUUUUAUUCUUUAGUUAGGCAAAUUUAUGUUUCAGCUGACUGGUUCAUGUUGAAAAGAAAGACACGGUAUAAACGAUGAAAACCCUUCAACUUAAGAAUGCAAUUCAGUCUCCCGUAGGGCUGACAAACGCGAAAGCCUGCACAACUUACUUCAAUUGUUAAUCUUAAUUAAAAAAAUAAAAUAAAAAUUUGGAACGCAGUUUUCAUGUUAUUGCCAAACAAACUGCUCUCUCUCUGUUUAAUGCUUUUGGAACGUAGCUGCGCAACGUUAUCUCCCAGAAAAUGCUUUAAGAAAUCUAAGAUGCUAUCCCUUGUGUUUAGACGGUAACCUAGGCGAGGUUUUAACUCAGUUGGCCGUUUAAUUGGAAAUGCAAUGAUCUGGAUAAAAACAGGUGUUUAAUACAGUCCCUGGCAAUGCCGGAAAGAGAAGACUGCGGUAGAGCACCAAUGUGGUCAGUGACUUUUUCUGUGCAGCAGAUGCUGUCUUUCACCUGCAGUUGUUGGACCACCAGCUGUGAGGUUUUACAGUCUGUUUAAUAUUUCAGUGUCCGCUGGUUCUCCAGCGACUGCAAAUCUACUAAUCUAGAGCACCUGGAUACAUCUUUAAAGAGCACCUGCUGCUUCUUUCAGUUCUGCAGAAACCCAGGCCGUCAGCAACAGCAAGGAUACCGCGACAGCUGGAGGAACGCAGGAAGCACUUGGAUGUUUGCGGGAAACAGGGCUGUAAAAGAAUUCCAGCUGCCUCACAGUCCAGCCGAACGCUGAGACCGCUGCUGACAUCUAAUCAGAUAAGGAUCCCACGCUACAGUUUAAUCUGAAAUAGACAGACAGACGCUCAGAAUAACUUUGGAAUCACAUGUGUUUCAAUGUCAAGGCAUCCCAGUAUGCGCCCUUCUGGGAUAAGAGUCCGGUCAAUCAGAUCAGUCAAUCAGAUGGCAGCAAAAACAUUACAGGGAGAAUGGAGUUCAUUUCUGAAUCAAACCUGCAAAAAGACCCAUGUUAUCGUAUAGCAAGGUGGGAGGCAUACUGUAAUUGGGUAAUAACAUCAUUCAUAUCUGCUUGUUCACUCAACACCCAGCAACAUUUUUACAUUACACAUGAUUCCCAGCUUUGAAAACAACAUUUCCCCAGGAGAGAUAUUCAUUUGAAGUUUAGUCUGUGGACCUUAGAAAUAACAAACUAGUGUUAUCCCCCCUUUUCCUGGAAGUAGGCAGAACUGGUCUGGCUGUGAUUAGCCCGAAGGUCGCACAGGGAGUCCCCGUCCCCCAAAUCCCCACUCCAACUUUCAAUCAGAGGGCAAUAAUGAAAAUCUGCAUUCAGCCCCAGCAAGAUAAUGAUGUUUGCCCGGUACAGUAAUUAUCCAAUCAGGACUCUGUUUCACAAGGGGUUCUGUCAGCCUGAAAUGACCAGAGAAGCAGUGUGAUUAUGAACAAGAAUGGGAUUCCUCCUUGCCACCCAGUCCUGCAGUUCAGAGGGCUAGUGCAGGUAUUGAUUGGCAGUGCGUUUUAUUUACAGCAGUUGCAUGUUGGCUGAAUUGUUGUAUAGUAAGGGGCCUGUAUUAUGCGACUUGCUACCUAACCUGCAAUUUUCUUUUUUCUCUGUGCAAAGCUUAUAUGAUGACUUCCUUUUAACUGCCCCAUUCCCCUCGAGUGUCUGCCUCAAUUAGAAAUAAUAGGCGUUUACAGUACAGUCACGUGAUAGCAAAGCGUUGGCAGCAGCUGUCUUUGUGGCCUCCAUUAGCAGGAGCUUCACAAGUAGUAAUUGCAUGUUAGUUUGGAGGUUGCCAGCGAUGGGCAGCUGUUGCUAGGAGGAAAGGAUACAUAGGAAAGUCACCACUGCAGUCGAAAUGCAAUCGAUUGAGACCGAGUAUACAGUAUUUAGACUGCAGUUUCUCUGCACUGCCUGUAAUGACAGUAAAUUAAAUUACCUCUCUGCUGCCUCAGUUUGGAACACCCUACUGUAUUUAUAAAGGUCACUGACACGGACGCUUUAUACUAUGGCGAACAAAGUAGCACAAUCUUGGUUAAGAAAUAGAGGGUUUUUUUUCCACCAAAGUGCUUUUUAUUAGAACAAAAGAGAGAAAGAAAACAGAUUUUGCAUUGCUGGGAGCAGUUCACUGAUCCUUUUUCUUUCUUGUUCUUUUACACUGUUGUUGUUCUUAUCAGAAUUUCAGUCUUCAGGUUCUUUUGUACACUGGCAGAUAGGGAGGGGUGCACUGCACCUGUGCUGGUUCCUUUCCCAUUGUAUUUUCUCUGCUGAUUCUGCAGAGGCUGCAGGUGAGGGGUGAGGUUUGGAGGGCUAAGACACCCAGGCAGCGGCUGCAGCAGAAACACGGCUUUGUCUAGGCAGGUUCUUCUGAACUGUUGGGAGCGGAACACUGGUUAUCAGCAGUUGAGUAUCUGCCUCUUUGUAUGGAAGCUUAGAUCACUGAUCUGGUACACAAUGCACUGCUGGCUUUAAAGUUUGUUUGUUUUUUUCUUCUAUUUUUCUAUUUGUACUUUAACUGUGGUUUUUAAGAACAUCAGAUAUACCUCACAUUUAUCAAAACCAACUGUUGUGGGUGCCAGAAAUGAGAGAGGGACCUGAUCAAAGUGUCUCAUGUCAGGACAGAGUGGAGAAUGAAUCCUGGAAUAUAGGAACAUAGAUAGCAGAACGUAAUAUAGUAGGUAACACUGUACAUUAAGUGUCUCUAAUUGGGGAUGAUAGCCAGGCAUCAAUCGCUAAUGCUCUCCACCCUGUUAAAAACACUUCAGUUUGCUUGCAUUGUGUUGUGUGCUGGAGCAGAGCUGAGUCUGGGUUGAUUUGGAUGGUAAAGUGAUGUAACCGAGAGAAUUCUAAGUGCUGAAUUUAAACCCAGCCCUUCAUGCACUGUGCAGCACAGGGUGGGGAUGCAUUUCCCUUUAUAAUAAUCAUGAAGCCAUCGCUCUGUUUGCUGUCAAUUCCUAUAACAUUCAGUGUAUAUAUUUCUAUAGUGUAUUGAGAGCUAAGAUUUCUUAAUAGUGUAUGUAGAUAAGGAUGCAAUUAUGAUAUGGUCUUGUUUGUUGCAAUAUAUCUAAUAUGUACAUACAGUUUAUUGAAAAUGGUAAUAAUGUAUUGAAAUGAUUUUGAGAUCUAGACAUAGAUUUUAUUACGAUGUGAUUGUCCUAUCCAAUGCACAUAUAUCUGUAACAUCUAUCCCUAUUUAUUAUAAAACUGAAGUUAAUUCAAAUGAUUUAUGAUCCAUAAAUGUUGACACAGCUAACACCUGUUUUUUUCAUGGUUUUUAAUUGUUUAUUUUGCACAUGGUUUACACCACAUUAACUGGUUUAAGUUAAUGAAGUAUGUGGAUGUUUUUUUUAUUCUGGUUGCACACUGACUGAAAUGUUUGCACUUUGUUCUUUCUGUACAGUUUGUCAACUGUGUUAGCCUGUUUUGUAA